UUGGCUAAGAUCAAGUGUAGUAUCUGUUCUUAUCAGUUUAAUAUCUGAUACGUGGUCCAUAGGACCACACGAUAUUAAAUUAAUUUUUCAGUGGGGGAGGGGCCACCGCACUAGCUUGCUAGUCGGUCCUUCGGGCGUCGCCCAUGCGUUGCACUACUGCACGGGCAUGGCGCACCCCUAUCAAAUCAAACUCUAAACUUGGGAGACUUUUCCGUGGAGUCUCAUUGACGAACGUGGUGUCUGUUGUGACAUGUUGAUCGUAGGAGUCUCAUUGACGAACGUGGUGUCUGUUGUGAUGGGUUGCCUUGCCGGAGUCUCGUUGAUGAACAUGGUGUCUGUUGUGAUGGGUUGGCUUGCCUUAUGACACUUCUAAGGCAGAGCAGUGUCCUAUUUGGGAAGGACCCUUGAUCCUAUGAUUAUGGUAUGGUCUUGUGGGAUAGAAUUAUUGUAUGUUCUAGGAUCCUAAGUUUUGAGAUGUGACUUAUUAAAUUUAGCAAAUCGUCAUCAAUGUUUUUUUUUAAUUAAUUGAAGUAUGAUAGACGAAUUCUGAUC